UUUUAUAAACCAAAGAGCAAGAAUAAAUCAUUUUCACAGGAUCUUUUUGCUCAGAUGAGGAACAAAGCUUGCUUUGUUUUUCCAGGUGUGAUCUUUGGAUGAAAAGAUACUCCUGUUCACGCCUCAAUUGAAGUCAAUCUACUGAGCAGAGGAUAUUGUUCAGCAUAAUCUCCAGUUGAAAGCAUUCAGGGUGUAAAUGAAAUCCUAUUGGCAGGAAAGGUGGCAUCAAGAUGCCCAGAGCUCUGAAUUGAGAACAUGCAAAGGCUAAGGAGUGCACAGCCGAUGCAACUGUUGGGCAAGAUGGUUGGUGCUCUGGCAUUUGGGUUUGCAGAGUCAUCCCGCAGCCACCUUUGAUCAGAGCCUGCUUUUUCCUUCCAGUCAUUGAGGACUGUGGUGGUCUUGACGACUUAUGUGGGCCUAAAUAGAAGAAGGGGGAGCAUUCCUUUUUCUUCUCUUCCAAUAUGGCAGGAAGGAACCAAGAGAAGAAAUAGAGGAACAUGUAAGGCAACACAAUCACAGGAUAUUUUAGAAUUGGAAGAAAUUUGCUGAUCUUCUGAUCUACAG
rnacentral:lncRNA from 1 species